rnacentral:tRNA from 1 species
GGCACCGUGUCCGAGUGGUCCAAGGAGUGUGACUCGGGUUCUUAUCUGUGUAUGCAGGCAGGGAUUCGAAUCCCCUCGGUGUCA